rfam:Mogibacterium pumilum strain ATCC 700696 genome.
GGACGCUUAGCUCAGCUGGGAGAGCAUCUGCCUUACAAGCAGGGGGUCAUAGGUUCGAGCCCUAUAGCGUCCA